rnacentral:sRNA from 1 species
UUCUUAUACAUGUAUAAAGUCAUCAUCUCAUUUCCAAAUGAGUGAACUCGGCGUUACAAACACGCUCUUGAGAUACUUCUAACAUCGAUCAUUUCCUUUUCGUUACUAGUUUCCAUGUCCUUGGA